ensembl:lncRNA
GGCUCCUUUCUGCUCACACUCUCCCUUGUUGGGGAGACCCUGCAGCCUCACACGUGGCGGGGACUGCAUGAGGCCAGAGCGCCGUGUUUUCUGGGAUGGCAGAGUCCCAGGGGACCCAUCUGAAGCUCAGAGCUGGGAGGAGCCACAUUGGCUACAGAUACUGGGUUGGCCUCAAAUGAAACAAUGACUAUGCGCUGCGCUUCAGGGAAUUCUACGGAGCAUGAGAUUACUGGGCCAAGCUGCGCCUUUUCACACAGCGUGUUAUCUACAACCAGGGGGUCAGCGAAGGCCAUGACUUGAAUAACCCAGGGAGUCGUUACUGGCCCCACAGAGUGUGGCUCCUUCUCCAGUCCUGCCACAUCACUGCCCGUAGAAGCCCGGGCUCAGACCCGGGCCGGAUUUCACCCCACUCCUCUGCAGUGGAAAUGCGAAAUGCUGUGUGGUUUGCUCUGUAAAGGAUUUGUAUGGCCCAAGUGACAAAAUACGGAUUCCAUGAUGCCUAUCUUCCUCAUCCUUCCAUUUCCUCAGUUACUCAACAAAUAUGUAUUGGUGAAUAAUGCCUUUACCGGGUAGUAUCUUCAUGCUCAGGAUACGCAUGAACACAUUAAAAAGAAAAAUUUGUUUUAUUUAUGCAGCAGGUGGGUUAUUCUGUACAGAUCCCAUGAAGGGCUACAUCUUACCAUCAUCUGCUCAGCUUCCUGACAGUCUUUGUUGGGCUUUUAAGGGCUGGUUCUAUCAGAAAGUGUGUCUCCUGUCACCGCUGAUGCUCGGACAGCCCAUCUGUCGCCUCCUUGCAUCUCGUGCUGGUGUCUGUUCCUGCUGCUUUGCUCACACUGCCUGCCUGGCCCCAGCUCAUCUCCCGCUCAGUUUUGGACCCAUGCAUCAGCUGCCCAGGAACUUGUCUGACUUGGACAGCCCUGCUUGGGUGCAUCUUGCAUGUGGUCGCCAGGUGAGUGUUCCCUAAAUGCUGUUGUCACCUCACCACCUCUGCUUGUACCAACCCCGAAUCCCCCGGCAAGCUCCCGAGGCCUAUCGCUGUGUCACGCCCUGCCCCAGUUGAGCAGCUUUCUUCAGUGGCUUGACAUAUGGAUGCCUUUCUCCAGAUGAAUCAUCAUCUCCUGGGGCCAGGAAGUGCGGAGGGGACCACAUCAGAUUGGCUUUCGUGUACCAUGGGGUAGUAUUUACACUACACUGGACCUACUGUCAGUGCCCAAGGCUCUGGUCCUGCUGGUGGAUUGCAUUUAGGUACAAAUGUGUAAACCUCACAAUGAGGCUUCGUUGCCCAGGGUAAUGGUGUGGAGGUGUUUGGGCCAGGAGACAGCAGCUCUUUGGGGGACGUGUGCUUCUUCCAUGGGAGUGUGUUGUCCUCCUGGGAAGUCCACACAAGAGGCUGUUACAAAUGAAUCUGGAGCUUCCCCCAAUCUCUCUUCUGCACACACAUGCCAGUGCUCUUUGCCCUCCAGAACCGUGAGUGAAAUGAACUUUUCUUUAUAAAUCACCCAGCUUUCGGUACUUAGUUAGAGGACUAAGAUAGGUAGACUCUACCUUACCCGAAUAUUUCCAUCACUGUGUGACUUGGCAGUGUCAAAGAUGAACAAAAACUGAUUUUCAUUAAGAGACAAAGAUGUUCAUUCCUAGCUGUGUUUACCCUCUGUGAGACUAUAUAUAUUGCAAAUUUUCAGGAACAAGAAUUAUUGUGGUACUCUGGGCCACAUAUUGGUAUCCAUUUGAAAACAUUCAUUAAAUAAAAAUCGGACUCUUUUUCCAAUCCUCUAGUAAUCUGAUUUAAUGGAGGAAAGGCAAUUUAAAUAAAAAAUUAGAGAGGUUCAAGCAUGUUCAAGAAAAAGAUGUUUUUCUGUUGUGUGCUAUAGUUUUGGACACAUGUGCAUGGAAGAAAAGUCACUUCUUAGUUGUCAACAUGGAAAAGAAUUUGCCUGGAAGAAACAGGAAUAUGGUUGUUUAUCCUUCAGGCAAUGAAUGCAACUCGAAACCCAGUGAACUAAAAAUCUGUUCCUUCCAGAAGAUAAAUUGGCUCUCAAGAAUCUGUAUACCAAAUGAGCAUUGCUGCACAUUCUGUCUUGUUUCCUGUGCACCAUGCACAAUGUAGCAUUACCUCCUAUGCUGUCAUCAUCAUGUGUCACACGUGAGAUCCAUAAAAUACAUCAUCAGCUUCCCACCAGCUAUCAAAGUGAUCCAAGUCUCAUUAGCUUAUUUCACAGACUGCUUCUUCUUCUAGCCCCAGAAUAUGCAAACAUCAGAAAUUGAAAGCCA